rnacentral:rRNA from 1 species
AUGAAAGCCUUAUUUUGGAACAUCAGGGGGUUUGGUGCUAGGGGACGCCGAGACCAGAUUAGUGAUUUAGUGCGUGGGAAUAAUAUUGACAUUGUUGGGCUAGUCGAAACCUUUAGAGAAUCCUUCUCUCCCAAUGAACUCUCUGCGAUCGCGGGCAUGGACAGAUUUGAUUGGCACGUGCUUCCUACUUCGGGCCAUUCGGGAGAGAUCUUGAUUGGCUCCAAAAACGAUGUCUUUGACUUCAUGGCUUUUGAUCAUGGCAUUUUUUGGGCUAGCACGAUAGUUUAUCAUAAAGUUCUUAACACUCUGUGUGAAUUUAUUGUGGUAUAUGGCCCUGCUGAUCAUUCGCUGUCCUCUCAGUUCCCGGAUGAGCUCUCUGCUAAGAUCGAGGCAUGUAAUAUACCGAUAGUUAUCGGUUGUGACUUUAAUCUUCUUCGCUCCCCCUCGGACAAAAGCAAUGGCAAUUUCUCCUGGCCUCUGGCUAAUGCCUUCAACAACUUCAUUAGCUCCAGUGCUAUCCGCAAGCUUCCUAGGGUGGGGGCCCGCUUUACUUGGUCUAACCAUCAAGCUAUCUCGAUUAGAUCUGUGCUAGAUCGAGUGUUCAUUUGUUCCAGUUGGGACUCUCUUUUUCCUCGGGCUUCCCUUCUUGCUAAAAGUCUCGUGGGCUCCGACCAUACCCCUCUCCUUCUUCACGCUGGGAUGCAUCAAGAUAGACCACCCUCUAGAUUCCAAUUUGAUGCUUCCUGGCUGCUCGUCGAAGGGUUUAAUGACAUGUUGGCUACUAAGAUCCUUAACCUCUUGGCCCCAAAUCCCCGCUCCUUUGGUCCUAUGAAUGACUGGCAUUCCUGUUCCUAUGAACUGUGA